rnacentral:rRNA from 1 species
UACGUAGGUGGCGAGCGUUGUCCGGAUUUACUGGGCGUAAAGAGCGCGCAGGCGGUCGUUCAAGUCGCGUGUGAAAGCCCCCGGCUCAACUGGGGAGGGUCACGCGAUACUGAUCGACUCGAAGGCAGGAGAGGGUAGUGGAAUUCCCGGUGUAGUGGUGAAAUGCGUAGAUAUCGGGAGGAGCACCAGUGGCGAAGGCGACUACCUGGCCUGUCCUUGACGCUGAGGCGCGAAAGCUAGGGGAGCAAACGGG